rnacentral:ncRNA from 1 species
AUAUUAAACCUUGUCAAAACUGGUACGGAAAAGGGGAAUCUGAUUGUUCAAUUAAAAGAAAGCAUUGUGAUGGUCCCUGUGGAUGUUGACGCAAUGUGAUUUAUGCCUAGUACUUUGCAUGUCAAAGUGAAGAAAUUCAACCAAGCACGGGUAAACGAAGAGAGUAACUAUAACUCUCUUCAGGUAGCGGCCAAAUGCCUCUUCAUCCAAUUAAUGAUGCACAUGAAUGGAUUAAUGAGAUUCCCAUUGUCCCUAGCUACUAUAUAGAGAAACCACAUCCAAAGGAAUGGACUUGGUAGAAUCAGCGGGGAAAGAAGACCCUAUUGAGCCUGACUCUAGUCUAACUUUGUGAAAUGACUUGAGAGGUGUAGAAUAAGUGGGAGUCGUUUUCGACGCAAGUGAAAUACCACUACUUUUAACAUUAUUUUAAUUAUUCCAUAGGGUAGAGACGUAGCAUUGCACAUAUGUUAAAAUAUAAUGAAAAUUUCCUCAAAGUGUUGUCAUUGAUGGCAAUGGUCGAGAGCUCAUUCUUCACGCACUUGAUGGAAAUGAAUUUAGGAAAACAAAGAGGGUCAUUGCUUUUAAGGAUGAAUAAAUUUCCUACAAUCCCUAUGU